GCUCAGGAUGAACGCUAGCGGCAGGCCUAAUACAUGCAAGCUGAACGGUAAAUAUUGUAGCAAUACGAUAUGAGAGUAGCGUAAGGGUGCGUAACGCGUAUGCAAUCUGCCCUGUACAGGAGGAUAGCUCGGCGAAAGCCGGAUUAAUACUCCGUAAUAUUAUGUUGUGGCAUCACGAUAUAAUUAAAGUCGCAAGAUGGUACAGGAUGAGCAUGCGUCUGAUUAGCUAGUUGGUAGUGUAACGGACUACCAAGGCGAUGAUCAGUAGGGGAACCGAGAGGUUGAUCCCCCACACUGGCACUGAGAUACGGGCCAGACUCCUACGGGAGGCAGCAGUAGGGAAUAUUGGUCAAUGGAUGCAAGUCUGAACCAGCCAUGCCGCGUGCAGGAAGAAGGCCUUCUGGGUUGUAAACUGCUUUUGCCGGGGGAUAAAAUUCCCAUGCGUGGGACAUUGAAGGUACCCGGUGAAUAAGCCACGGCUAACUACGUGCCAGCAGCCGCGGUAAUACGUAGGUGGCAAGCGUUGUCCGGAUUUAUUGGGUUUAAAGGGUGCGUAGGCGGCCUAUUAAGUCAGUGCUGAAAUAUCCCGGCUUAACCGGGAGGGUGGCAUUGAUACUGAUGGGCUUGAGUGGAGUCGAGGUAGGCGGAAUUGACGGUGUAGCGGUGAAAUGCUUAGAUAUCGUCAAGAACACCGAUAGUGUAGACAGCUUACUAGACUUCAACUGACGCU
rnacentral:rRNA from 1 species